AUGGUGUUCAUACUAAGAAGUAAAAUUGUGGGAAUAUAAAAAAAAAAAAGGUAAGGAAUUAAUGAUAACCUACUCAUUUCUUGUAUCCCAACCAGAUAAAUUAGCAAUCUGCGUUAAAGCUUCUAUCCAUCUUCGAACUUCAUGUGGAAAUCUAACUUCAUGGGUCUCAAAAGUUGUAGCAAAUUUUCGUUUUGAUGUCGCACGUCAGAUGGAUCUAUGCCAUAAAAAACUGGAAAAAUUGUUUGACCGGAGUCCUUUUUGGAUUCUAGGAUCUUCUGCAAUUCAUCCAAACACCAAGAGGAAGAAGCAUAAUUCGCGGAGAGCACAACAAUCGCAAACAUAGAUUGCUCCAUAGCUUGGCCGAGUUCGUCCUUAAUAACGUGUCCUCUGUGAAGAUCUAAAUCAUCCUUGAUGCUCUAUUUGGUUGAAAAGAAAAUAUGGGAGGAACAAAAACAUGAAGAGAAAAUAGGAGAGAAAACAGAUUUUUCCUGGAUAGGGAAGAAAAAAUGAGAGGAAAGAAAAAGUGAAAAAAAAAAGGGUGAAAGUUUCAAUUCCUUGUCCACGCAAAGCAGCGUACAAGUGAUCGGUGAAGUUGGUGCGAGUGUCGGUGCCUCUGAAACUCAAGAAAACAUGAUACUUCGUCGGAGAAGAUGAAGCAGAGGAAGGACCUGGAGCAGCCAUUGAAGGAGCUUUUGGGCAAACUGAUAAAAGGGAAUGAAAUAUUCAGCGACGACUGAACGAACUGGGAAGAAGGAAGAUUGUGGGUGGAGCAAAUCAAGAACACCCAACCAGCUUGACUUGGGGUCAAUAGUCAUCAUCAACUUUUGUAAGGUCACUUGCAAAUUUCUACUUUCAAUUAAUGUUCCCCCUUUUUUUUUGGAUAAAAUUAAAGUCCCUUUAACCAGAUAUGUGAAGACCGAAAAAUAACUGUGGAACACCACGUAAAUAUUCUAAUUUUUUAAAGAUGCUCCUGAAGACAA